UACGUAGGGGGCAAGCGUUGUCCGGAUUUAUUGGGCGUAAAGAGCGUGUAGGCGGCCAGGUAGGUCCGCUGUGAAAACUCGAGGCUCAACCUCGAGACGUCGGUGGAAACCAUCUGGCUAGAGUCCGGAAGAGGAGAGUGGAAUUCCCGGUGUAGCGGUGAAAUGCGCAGAUAUCGGGAAGAACACCCGUGGCGAAAGCGGCUCUCUGGGACGGUACUGACGCUGAGACGCGAAAGCGUGGGGAGCGAACAGG
rnacentral:rRNA from 1 species